rnacentral:rRNA from 1 species
AGAGUUUGAUCCUGGCUCAGAACGAACGCUGGCGGCGCGCCUAAUACAUGCAAGUCGAGCGAGAAGGUGUAGCAAUACACUUGUAAAGCGGCGAACGGGUGAGGAAUACAUGGGUAAUCUACCAUCGAGUGGGGAAUAACCAGCCGAAAGGUUGGCUAAUACCGCGUACGCCUCCGGAUCUUCGGGUUCGGAGGGAAAGCCACACUGUGAGUGCGGCGCUCUUUGAUGAGCUCAUGUCCUAUCAGCUUGUUGGUAGGGUAACGGCCUACCAAGGCUUUGACGGGUAGCUGGUCUGAGAGGACGAUCAGCCACACUGGCACUGCGACACGGGCCAGACUCCUACGGGAGGCAGCAGUAAGGAAUAUUGCGCAAUGGGCGAAAGCCUGACGCAGCGACGCCGCGUGGGGGAUGAAGGUCUUCGGAUUGUAAACCCCUUUCGGGAGGGAAGAUGGAGCGAGCAAUCGUUCGGACGGUACCUCCAGAAGCAGCCACGGCCAACUUCGUGCCAGCAGCCGCGGUAAUACCAAGGUGGCAAGCGUUGUUCGGAUUCACUGGGCGUACAGGGUGUGUAGGCGGUUUGGUUAGCCUUCUGUUAAAGCUUCCGGC